GACGAACGCUGGCGGCGUGCUUAACACAUGCAAGUCGAACGGAAAGGCCCUGCUUUUGUGGGGUGCUCGAGUGGCGAACGGGUGAGUAACACGUGAGUAACCUGCCCUUGACUUUGGGAUAACUUCAGGAAACUGGGGCUAAUACCGGAUAGGAGCUCCUGCUGCAUGGUGGGGGUUGGAAAGUUUCGGCGGUUGGGGAUGGACUCGCGGCUUAUCAGCUUGUUGGUGGGGUAGUGGCUUACCAAGGCUUUGACGGGUAGCCGGCCUGAGAGGGUGACCGGCCACAUUGGGACUGAGAGACGGCCCAGACUCCUACGGGAGGCAGCAGGGGGGAAUAUUGCACAAUGGGCGGGAGCCUGAGGCAGCAACGUCGGGUGCGGGAUGACGGCCUUCGGGGUGUAAACCGCUUUCGCCUGUGACGAAGCGUGAGUGACGGUAAUGGGUAAAGAAGCACCGGCUAACUACGUG
rnacentral:rRNA from 1 species